UUUCUGGUUUUAGAUCACUGGUUUUACACUACAAUUUGCGAAAAGGCUGCAAGUAAACCUCCUUGUGAAGCCUGCACCAAAAAUUGAAGCUUUAUCAAAAGUUCAAAAACCUUAUAUUUUUCCUCUUCUUUGGCUAAAUGAGUCUGCUGUUAUCGGGGAUGCAAAAGCAGAAAUGUUCAGAAAAAAAGUCACUGGUCGGGUCCAGAUGCUGAGUGUGCUGCAGAUGGUGUUAAUGAUUGCAGGUUCUGUGCUGUUCCUCGCAUUCAUGGGUUCCUAUUUCAUAUGCAGAUCAAAGAAAUUAAAAUAAGUAACAAAAGACUUCAGAGGUAGGCAAUGUUUAAUGGAAAUUUCAGCCAAGCAACACGUUAAAAUUCAGAGACAAAAGAUACGAUGCAAGGCACAGUCAGUCUACAUGCUAUGGAAUUCAACAUGCUUUUCCAUUUUGAGAAGACCAACUCACUAACCCGAAUAAGCUGAUGUUUCCAAAGGUCCACACUUCUGACAUCACUAAAGAGGCCACCAUGGAAACUAGGCUUUCAAAUGACUUUGAUUAUUUGAACCUUGCUACAUAUUUUAAAUGACAUUCAAGCAGACUGAAGUUGAGAUGCAGCUGGAUUUUAGUCCACCUUCUGCCAUUUAUGCAACUUGCUACUUUUUUUCUUCUGGGAUUUGCAAGACAAAUGAAAGCCAUUUGCUGAUGUUCUGUCUCUGAGCACAGGCUGGGAAUGACAACACCUUUGAGCUCAUGCUGUGCUCUGGAUGUUCCCAUUGCAAUGUUUCUUUCUGUUCCUUCAAGGAAUGGAAGCUGCUGCAAUAGAACUGCUCUCUGUCCUUUAUUCAGGGAUGUGAAUCGCAUUGAAUGUGAAGUUUAUUUUGAAAAUUACUAACUGUAAUACAUGGAGUUAAUAAAAGACUUACUAAAA